ensembl:lncRNA
AUGUCGCUAUCUGAGUUCUGGAGUGGGGACCCCCCUCACGAGCCAAGAUUCAGCCCCGGUCCAGGCUCCCUAACCUGUGCCCCAGACACCAGGGGAUCCCCGGGCUUCCAGGCCCUAAUGGCCAGGACUGCUGUCCAUGACAUUUUCACAGUGAGUAAAAAAUCCUAGACAAGCAUCGGAAGAUGGAGACUCUGAGGAUGGCUCUGUGACGCGAGUGCCAGCAGUGUGAUUCUGGACCAAGCGCCCCGUGGCCCCGCGCUCCAUUGCUUCCCCCCAAGCUCAGGCGCAAUGUGCAAUCCCAUGGACUGGGACGCGCACUUUCUAAGGGAGGAGUCAAUUAGCCGGACGUAAAUUACUUCUGAGACCCAGGGAGAGGGCUGACAUUAUCCACACCAUUUCCCGGAGGAGGAACUGAAGUGGAGAGAGGUCAAGUGCCUUGACCAAGAUUAUAUAAUGGCCUCGUCAGGAGUAAAGUUUGGGGUUUCUUUUCUGUCUCUGCUUACUGAAAAAAUCGUCCCAAGCUGUCACCUUGCAGAAUGACAGGACGAGAGCACGUGACACGGGCAUGCUCAGGGGCACUGCUGGCCAUGGGAGCUGGACCCCACCACUGGACAGAACACCUCGCAGGAUUCCCGAUCACCCUACCCACACACGUCCCAUGAGGCCCUGGAGAGUCCUGGCGGGGUGCGGGAGACCAGACUCUCAUGUGACGAACUGGCCGGAAGGGGCCUCUCUCUCCUCUUUCCUUCUACUCUCGCUACCCCGAGAGAUUCUCUAUAUGACGAACUAAAAGGGGAAUUGACUCAGAAGUACAAAGGGCUCCGUCUUAUUAUAUGAAGAUUUCUCCAGAGUUUGUUUUCAGAUCAUUAAAUACUCAACAGUGGGAGAAACUAAAAGCGCCAAUGUUCUAAGCCACCCCCUGGCAGAAUAUCAAUCAGAAAUUAAAGUCAGGUGCAUCCUGAAGCAAAGUGACCGAAAAGACACACCUUGCUGCAUGCUGAAUCGUUCUCAGUUUUGUGCAAAGGAGCUGCCUAGCGCAGUGCUGGACCACCGUGACCACAGACGUCAGCCUGCGGUCACCCCGACUUCCUUGGCAGGCUGCACCUGACCGCCCUGCCCCAGGGUGGCCUCCACUGUGGACAGAGGCCUUCCCUAGCACUUCACAGUCUAGUGCCCACGGAACCCUGCCACACACACAGUAGACAGGAGAAUGAAUCAAAUGCAGUUCUGACCCCUUCAGACCACGGGUCCAUUUUGUUUUCCCUUCCUUUCCUCCCCUCUCCUUCUUUUCUUCUCUUUCUCUGUGAACCUUGGGAAGAGGAGCCUGAGGAAGAUGUGCUCCGGAGCAUCUCUCCUGUCUGAGAUGCUCAACUGAAAAUGAGAACCAGCAGGGCCUAUCCUACAAAGAGGCGGUCGGCCACCCCUGGCCUGCUGGGGUUUCCGCAGUCCCUCGGGCCAGUGCCCCCAGAAACCGAAAGGAAAAAUCCUCCCCAUUCAGCCUGGCCUCCUCAGCUUCCCCUCCCAGCCCCAGGCCCAAACACUUCCCCCAAGGUCCAUGACCUUUCUGCUGUCAGAUCCAGCGGAAGCAUCUCUGUAUUCAUCUCAGUACUUUAUCCUCCACCUUUUCCUGGGAGCCAGGGCUUCCAGAAACGGCUGGGCGGUUGGCUUUGGCGAUGGUCCUUCUCCUGCUCUUUGCUUGCCUCCCUGCAGUCCCUUCCCCACUUACCCUGCAGGUUCCAUGGCUGCCCUGACCCUUUAGGGCUCGGCCUCAGGGACUUUCCUUCCCCACAGCCCCUCCUGGGUGUCUCCGUCUGUCCCUGUUGUUCUCCUGCAGCGACAGUCCUCGCCGCUGGCUCUGUGUGGUGUCCCCAACUGCCCGUGACCUCUCUCCUUGGCAGCUCGCUGCACUUGCAGGACGGGCCCACAUGGAAACCUUUCCUCCCUGAGGACGGCUUGGACUCAUCUUGGUUCCUCGCUCCCCCUCACCUCAAGAGCCCUGUGCACCUGCAGUCUUCCGAGUCUUAUCUCCAAAUACAUGCGCAUGCUGCGAACUCAUCUGCACCUUUCUUUUUUUCUGUACUGGGAAUU